GACGAACGCUGGCGGCAUGCCUAAUACAUGCAAGUCGAGCGAACGGAUGAAGUGCUUGCACCUCUGACGUUAGCGGCGAACGGGUGAGUAACACGUAAGGAAUCUACCUAUAAGCGGGGGAUAACAUUCGGAAACGGGUGCUAAUACCGCAUAAUAUCUUCUUCCGCAUGGAAGAAGAUUGAAAGACGGCUCUGCUGUCACUUAUAGAUGACCUUGCGGUGCAUUAGUUAGUUGGUGGGGUAAUGGCCUACCAAGACGAUGAUGCAUAGCCGACCUGAGAGGGUGAUCGGCCACAUUGGGACUGAGACACGGCCCAAACUCCUACAGGAGGCAGCAGUAGGGAAUCUUCCGCAAUGGGCGAAAGCCUGACGGAGCAAUGCCGCGUGAGUGAAGAAGGCCUCCGGGUCGUAAAACUCUGUUAUAAGAGAAGAACAAAUUGUAGAGUAACUGCUACAGUCUUGACGGUAUCUUAUCAGAAAGCCACGGCUAACUACGUGCCAGCCGCCGCAGUAA
rnacentral:rRNA from 1 species